UCUAGGUUGGAGCAGCUGCUUUGCGUUGAUGACUCGGUCAGACCUGGAUUAUUUUAUAUCUGCCUGUUGAAUUCUUACAUUUUGAGCGAAUUUUAGUUGAUAUGUCAAUGAAGAACAAAAGCUGGAAUGUGAACAGAGGAAGGGGUUGUUCGUGAUCUGUAAAUACUGGCGAUAUCAGAUCAAGCAUUGGAAUAAGAUUUUUAUCGGGGGAGAACACCCAACAGAAAGAUGUGAUGUGAAAGAAAUGAUUCACCAACUGGCGCACUGAAACGGGAGAUUCAUGUCACCUUCAUCAGUUCUUUCUUUAAUC